AUUGAACGCUGGCGGCAUGCCUUACACAUGCAAGUCGAACGGUAACAGGUCUUCGGAUGCUGACGAGUGGCGAACGGGUGAGUAAUACAUCGGAACGUGCCCAGACGUGGGGGAUAACGAGGCGAAAGCUUUGCUAAUACCGCAUACGAUCUAAGGAUGAAAGCAGGGGACCGCAAGGCCUUGCGCGUUUGGAGCGGCCGAUGGCAGAUUAGGUAGUUGGUGGGAUAAAAGCUUACCAAGCCGACGAUCUGUAGCUGGUCUGAGAGGACGACCAGCCACACUGGGACUGAGACACGGCCCAGACUCCUACGGGAGGCAGCAGUGGGGAAUUUUGGACAAUGGGCGAAAGCCUGAUCCAGCAAUGCCGCGUGCAGGAUGAAGGCCUUCGGGCUGUAAACUGCUUUUGUACGGAACGAAAAGGCUCUGGCUAAUACCUGGGGCACAUGACGGUACCGUAAGAAUAAGCACCGGCUAACUACGUG
rnacentral:rRNA from 1 species